rnacentral:rRNA from 1 species
GGAACAUGUGGUUAAUCGAUGAUACGCGAGGAACCUUACCUGGGCUUAAAUGUAGAGUGCAUUUUUAGAGAUAGAAAUCCUUCGGGGCUUUCUGCAAGGUGCUGCAUGGUUGUCGUCAGCUCGUGCCGUGAGGUGUCGGGUUAAGUCCCAUAACGAGCGCAACCCUUAUCGUUAGUUGCCAGCUGGUAAAGCAGGGGACUCUAGCGAAACUGCCACCGUAAGGUGAGAGGAAGGUGGGAUGACGUCAAAUCAGCACGGCCCUUAUGUCCAGGGCUACACACGUGUUACAAUGGCCGGCACAGAGGGCAGCUACCUGGUGACAGGAUGCUAAUCUCGAAAACCGGUCUCAGUUCGGAUCGAAGUCUGCAACUCGACUUCGUGAAGCUGGAUUCGCUAGUAAUCGCGCAUCAGCCAUGGCGCGGUGAAUACGUUCCCGGGCCUU